GGCUGGGGUCUGCGUGGGGCGGGUUGGGCGCUUGAGUGCUGGGGAACACUCGGAAGUCGUUUUAGCCCCCUUCUGUAUUUUCUUUUAUUACUGAAUCCUAAAACAGCCCGAAGAAGGCGGGGGGGGGGGGGGGCGUAAGGAUUAGGGAUGCUUGCCUCCCAUUCAGAGAUAAGGAAACUGAGGUUCAGAAAGGCUGCCAGACACCAUGAAUCUAUGAGAGCGUCACUUGUUGUCUCUUGCCGCCUUUUCUCUCCCAGCAAAUAUAAUCUGGGGGCACCUGGGCCCCACCAGACCGGCCUCUCUGAUCACACUCAAGGAUUAACAAUCAGCUGUACUGUGGGCAGAUGCCCUGUCUCACAUACAGAGGAUCAAAAGGCUGGUUUGAGAAGGGAGUUCGUUUCCUGACCGGCCUCCAGGUCCCGUGAGGUCCAACCACUGACCACUGCUCCCAACUCAGCUGCAGCCACACUGGCCACUUUCUGCUUCUCAAAUAUGCAUGCCUUGUCCUCACCUCUCAUGGGUUGAACUGCAUCUCUCCCCAAAAUAUCUAGAAGCCCUUGGAACCUGUGAGUGGGAUCUUAUUUGAAAAUUAGGUCUUUACAGAUGUAACUUAAGGAUCUGGAGAUGAGGUCAUCCUGGAUUUAGGGUGGGCCGUAACCCCAAUGACUUGGUGUCCUUACAAGAAGGUCACACGAAGACACACGCACACAGGGAGAACUCUGAUGGGGGAGACAGGGGUUGGGGGAGGCAGCCACCAGCCGAGAAUUACCAGCAACCACCAGAAGGUGAAAAAGGUGAGGAAGGAUCCUCCCCUAAAGACUUCAGAGAGACCACGGCCCUGCUGACACCUUCAUUUUGGAUCUCUAGUCUCCAGAAGUAUGAGAAGAUACAUUGCAGUUGUUCUAACCCUCCCCCCCCCCGCCAUUUAUGGUAAUUUAUUACAGGAGCCCAAGGACACUAACACAUCAUCUCAGGGCCUUUGCAUGUC